UACGGGGGGGGGCAAGCGUUGUUCGGAUUUACUGGGCGUAAAGGGCGCGUAGGCGGCCAGCGCAAGUCGGUUGUGAAAUCUCCGGGCUUAACUCGGAAAGGUCAACUGAUACUGCGCGGCUAGAGUGCAGAAGGGGCAACUGGAAUUCUCGGUGUAGCGGUGAAAUGCGUAGAUAUCGAGAGGAACACCUGCGGCGAAGGCGGGUUGCUGGGCUGACACUGACGCUGAGUGCGCGAAAGCCAGGGGAGCGAACGGG
rnacentral:rRNA from 1 species